rnacentral:lncRNA from 7 species
CUGUAUUGCUACGACUAGCAGUGAGGUCACGAGUCAUCUAAAGAUCAUCCUGGUACCUAGAAUCUCAAGUCCCAGGCAAGUUGUGCCCUUGACCACUUUUUACCCAAUAAUGUUCUUUAAUAUCAUUUAUUCAUGCAUAGGUUAAUUUUGAUGGGACCCAAUAGGUUACCCUAGAUUGUUUAUCUCAUUACCUUGUUUACCCCUAAAUCACUUGGGUAGUUUGCUAUUGCUUUACAUGGAUUUGGGAUAAUUAUUUAUCAUAUCUAUGUUCCAGUUAUUUUGUUAUUCUAUUUAUGUUCAUGUCAAGAUCAUUAAUGUUAAUUGGAACAUAGAGCUUAACUUGAGAAACACGUGCCACCACAAGGGUUUAUGGACGCCCUUGGCUUAUUAAUUAGGAAAGCUAGUGGAGGACUACCUUACCCGAAAGGGGCAAGGGCAGUAGGGGAGUGGUCAGUGUAGGGAGGUCCUUGGUUGAUUUUGCUGCGAUGGCGGUCAGGCAAGAACCCUGCAUUGGAGCUUCCUAUAAACUGUAGCGGGUUUUCUGAAGCUAGUGGAACUUUGUAAAGGCCUCGUAGUGUUACCCUGCCUCGCCUCCUCGAUAGAGGUGUAUGGGAAGUCGCGAUCCCUUGGCUGAUGGGUAACAUGACUUGUGGGUAAAGGGUACCACCUCUGCAGAGUGUAAAACUGGUAUACUAGCCGAGCUCACGGUCAUGAGCAGCUCAGGACUCUCUGAUGAUUAAAUUAUGGAACUAAAUUCAAUUUGUCAUAUGCAUUGCAUCGCAGGUGAUGUUGUUACUUUUGUUCUACUACUUAAUUGGGUUGGUAUUUACUUAUACUUAGUAAUUGCUAAUAAAAUUUUGACCAACUUUAAAAGCAAUGCUCAGCUCUAACCAUCCUCUUUGGUAAGCCUUACACUUCACGUGAGCUCCCACCUUUGGCGAGUUCAUGCACAUUAUUCCCCACAACUUGUUGAGCGAUGAACGUAUGUGAGCUCACUCUUGCUGUCUCACACCCCCCACAGGUCAAGAACAGGUACCGCAGGAUGAGGCGCAAGGAGGAUGCUGCGAUGAGUUCGUGAGAGAUCUAGGCCGUCGUCUCCCAGUCAACUUUGGGUUGCUGGACCGUUGUCUCCUUAUAAUGUAAUUAUUUAUUUAUUUUGUAUAGAACUCCUAUUAUAUAGUAAA